GAUGAACGCUGGCGGCGUGCCUAAUACAUGCAAGUCGAGCGAACGGACGAGAAGCUUGCUUUUCUGAUGUUAGCGGCGGACGUGUGAGUAACACGUGGAUAACCUACCUAUAAGACUGGGAUAACUUCGGGAAACCGGAGCUAAUACCGGAUAAUAUUUUGAACCGCAUGGUUCAAAAGUGAAAGACGGUUUUGCUGUCACUUAUAGAUGGAUCCGCGCUGCAUUAGCUAGUUGGUAAGGUAACGGCUUACCAAGGCAACGAUGCAUAGCCGACCUGAGAGGGUGAUCGGCCACACUGGAGCUGAGACACGGUCCAGACUCCUACGGGAGGCAGCAGUAGGGAAUCUUCCGCAAUGGGCGAAAGCCUGACGGAGCAACGCCGCGUGAGUGAUGAAGGUCUUCGGAUCGUAAAACUCUGUUAUUAGGGAAGAACAUAUGUGUAAGUAACUGUGCACAUCUUGACGGUACCUAAUCAGAAAGCCACGGCUAACUACGUG
rnacentral:rRNA from 1 species